rnacentral:rRNA from 1 species
GCGAGUCUUUGUAGUAAUACAAGGCAGACGGCUCAGUAACACGUAGUCAACCUACCCUAUGGACAAGAAUAAUCUCGGGAAACUGGGCAUAAUUCUUGAUAGAUCAUAAUGCCUGGAAUGGUUUAUGGUUAAAAUGAUUCGUCGCCAUAGGAUGGGACUGCGGCCUAUCAGCUUGUUGGUGAGGUAAUGGCCCACCAAGGCGAUUACAGGUACGGGCUCUGAGAGGAGAAGCCCGGAGAUGGGUACUGAGACACGGACCCAGGCCCUAUGGGGCGCAGCAGGCGAGAAAACUUUGCAAUGUGCGAAAGCACGACAAGGUUAAUCCGAGUGAUUUCUGCUAAAGAAAUCUUUUGCCAGUCAUAAAACCACUGGUGAAUAAGGGGUGGGCAAGUUCUGGUGUCAGCCGCCGCGGUAAAACCAGCACCUCAAGUGGUCAGGAUGAUUAUUGGGCCUAAAGCAUCCGUAGCCGGCUUUGUUAGUUUUCGGUUAAAUCCAUGUGCUCAACGCAUGGGCUGCCGAAAAUACUGCAUAGCUAGGGAGUGGGAGAGGUAGACGGUACUCAAUAGGAAGGGGUAAAAUCCUUUGAUCUAUUGAUGACCACCUGUGGCGAAGGCGGUCUACCAGAACACGUUCGACGGUGAGGGAUGAAAGCUGGGGGAGCAAACCGGAUUAGAUACCCGGGUAGUCCCAGCUGUAAAC